rnacentral:rRNA from 1 species
UACGGAGGGGGCGAGCGUUAUUCGGAAUUAUUGGGCGUAAAGGGCGCGUAGGCGGCUGGUUAAGUCAAAGGUGAAAUCCCUCGGCUCAACUGAGGAACUGCCUUUGAAACUAAUCGCUUGAGGCCGGGAGGGGGUAGCGGAAUUCCCAGUGUAGCGGUGAAAUGCGUAGAUACUGGGAGGAACACCAGUGGCGAAGGCGGCUACCUGGACCGGUUCUGACGCUGAUGCGCGAAAGCGUGGGUAGCAAACAGG